ensembl:lncRNA
UUUUACCUUGUCCUAAUUUUACCUUGUCCUAAUUUUACCUUGUCCUAAUUUUAGCUUGUCCUAAGUUUAGCUUGUCCUAAUUUUAGCUUCGUUUUUCCAAGCGCUUACACAAUACAUGGGGAGACAUAUAAACACAGAAAACGAUCGUGCUGGUCAUGAGGAGAAGGUUAUAAUUGGCAAAAACAUAAUAUAUAACAACUUUGAAUGUAGCAAUUUUUUAAACAAUUUACAUUUUUUUUAUAAAUCAACUAAACAAGUAAACGCGAACAAUAUCCAUUUGAGUAACUCAAAUUCGAUUUAUAAUACAGAAUCUAAAAUAUCAGAAGAUGGAGAAAAAUACGUAUUAAUAAAUAAAAACAACAAAAAAAGCAAAAAAUAUAUAAUGCAUUUAAUACCAUCUAAAAAAUCAUACCUUUAUAAGUUUUUAAAUGAAAAAAAAAAAAAAGUAUUAACAAAAUAUGGAGCAGACGAAACAUAUUCAUAUGAUAUUCACAUUAGUUUAACUGGCUUCUUUUAUUGUGAUAAUAUAAAUUUAUUUAUCAAAACAUUAUGUAAAUUUACGUUUUAUUUUGUUAAGUUAUAUCUUAUGUUUAAAAAUAUACCCUUUACUAAUUUUUUUUUUUUGGUUCCUCAUAAAGAAAGAAAUUAUACAAUUCCACAGUGUGAUGGUGGUAGUAAACAUGGUAAAAAUUGUAGCUGCAAUGCUAAUAAUACAGAAUCUAGUUGUAACCAUGAUAGUACAUAUGUACGAGAGAAAGAAGGAAAACAAAAACACAUAGUGAGUAGUAACAUAUAUACGGAAGAUACACAAAACGAUGCAAAAAAGGAUACAAAAAAGGAUACAAAAAAGGAUGCAAAAAAUGAUACAAAAAAGGAUGCAAAAAAUGAUACAAAAAAGGAUACACAAAAUGACACACAAAACGACACACAAAACGACACACAAAACGAUACAAAAGAUUACAUUGACACAAAUAAAAAGUCUUUUUCGAAACAUGUGCUUAAUUCGGAUAUUAAUAGUAACAACAAUGACACAGAAAAAUAUCGCCAAACUCAUAUUUUAGCAACACAGGACGGUUAUGUUAUUAUUCCAAUAACAUGUACUUGGAUUAAAUUGUUUUUAAACAAUUUCCUUUUUUUAAUAAAAAAAAACAGCUUUACGAGUUGCAAAAAAUAUAAUAUGGAUACGAAAACAAAAAAUAUGUAUUUAUAUAAUACACAUGAACAAAACAUAAAAGUAAUAAAAAAUGACAACAAGUUUCAACCUUGCCACUUUAAUGAUGUGAAUUAUUUUAUGCGAAAUUAUUUUUCUGAUGGGGUUUAUAAAAAAAGGAAUGAGUCUAGUAUGUACGUAAAUUAUGAAAACAUUAGCGAAAGUAGUAACCAUAACGUUAGAAAUAAGAAUAACAAAUACAGUAACAAUAAAAAUAACAUUAUAAAUAACAAUAACAAUAAUAACGAAGACAUAACCCGAGUUAACAUAGUUACAAACGGUAAUAAUGCAGACGUCUGUAAUAAAAGGAAACUAAAUAAAUCGAAAAGUAAAACUACCAUAGCUGAGAAACAUGCGCGAACUGUGUAUAAUAAUUUACCUAUAAAUAAACAUAAAAUGAGCCCCAAAAAAUUGAAUGAAAAUGCUGUUGAAUUUAACAACAGUAACCAUUGUAAAAAAAUAAAGACAAGUUGUCAUAAUAUAAACAAUGCUAUUGAUGUUUCUAUCACUACGGAUCCUACCACCACCACAACUGGUGAAAGGGAAAAAAAUAUCUCGUAUAACUACUACAACGAAAACAUUAAUUUAUCCGAUUUCCGUAUAAAAAAUUGUAACCACAUAUCUUUAUCUUCCAACCGAACUAAUAAGAAUAUACAAAAUAAUAUUGCAAAUAUGUAUGAAAAUGUGAAAUAUCAUUUUAUGAAUUCUUCAUGGGAUCUUGUUAUGUUUGAAUUUGAUGAAGAUAUAUAUACACAAAAAAGAUUUAAUAACAAUUUUUUGAACGAAGUUUUUAGAUUUAAAAAUUUUGCUGUGUCAUAAGUUGGAAGAGAAAAAAAAAAAAAAAAAAAAAA